rnacentral:misc_RNA from 1 species
UAACAGCAGAUUCCGCUAAUUAUGUGCUUAAACCAAGUCAAUAAUUAAUGCUUCGACAACGCUUAUAAGUAAUAGCUUUAAUUUGAAUUACGGUUGUAAUUAAUAAUCCCAUUAACAAAAAACAGACAGGGCAUGAGCAUCAUAAAGACAGCCAAUAUUGCAUAAUAAUAGAAAGCCAUAAAUAUCCCUUUUACCUUUGCUAGUUUAAAUUGAGACACAGUGUUCCCAUUAACGAAUGGCAUAAUACCAACAAUUGGCCCGUUUAAUAGUGGCAUAAAUUACACCUAUAAUUGAGCACAAAGAUAUGUUAAUGAAUUUCACCUAAUGUUACUUAACGUGGGUUCUCAAUACUAAAAAU